CGUCUUCCAGCGCAGUGCCGGGUGGUGUGGCCUCGAGGCUCCUAACACUGUCUGGUAAAGAUGGC
rnacentral:pre_miRNA from 1 species